GACGAACGCNGGCGGCGUGCCUAAUACAUGCAAGUCGAACGAGAGCGACCGGUGCUUGCACUGGUUAAUCUAGUGGCGAACGGGUGAGUAACACGUGGGUAACCUGCCCAUCAGAGGGGGAUAACAUCCGGAAACGGAUGCUAAAACCGCAUAGGUCUUCGAGCUGCAUGGCUUGAAGAGGAAAAGAGGCGCAAGCUUCUGCUGAUGGAUGGACCCGCGGUGCAUUAGCUAGUUGGUGAGGUAACGGCUCACCAAGGCCGUGAUGCAUAGCCGACCUGAGAGGGUGAUCGGCCACAUUGGGACUGAGACACGGCCCAAACUCCUACGGGAGGCAGCAGUAGGGAAUCUUCCGCAAUGGACGCAAGUCUGACGGAGCAACGCCGCGUGAGUGAAGAAGGUUUUCGGAUCGUAAAACUCUGUUGUUAGAGAAGAACAAGUGCUAGAGUAACUGUUAGCGCCUUGACGGUAUCUAACCAGAAAGCCACGGCUAACUACGUGCCAGCAGCCGCGGUAAUACGUAGGUGGCAAGCGUUGUCCGGAUUUAUUGGGCGUAAAGCGAGCGCAGGCGGUUCCUUAAGUCUGAUGUGAAAGCCCCCGGCUCAACCGGGGAGGGUCAUUGGAAACUGGGGAACUUGAGUGCAGAAGAGGAGAGUGGAAUUCCGUGUGUAGCGGUGAAAUGCGUAGAUAUAUGGAGGAACACCAGUGGCGAAGGCGACUCUCUGGUCUGUAACUGACGCUGAGGCUCGAAAGCGUGGGUAGCAAACGGG
rnacentral:rRNA from 1 species